CCUGCGUAUCGGGCGCGUGGCACUCGGGCCGCUGCCGCCGGGCCAGUGGCGCUACCUGGGCAGUGACGAGCGGUUCUGACCCCAUCCACGCAUGGC
rnacentral:tRNA from 1 species